rnacentral:lncRNA from 1 species
UUCUCUCUUCAAAUCUUCUUGAAAAUUUCGUACAAGUGUGUUGAUGCUAUCACGAACACCAACUGCCUUUUAGUUCUAAGUACACCCGUUGUAUUUUCAAUACAAUGCCUCACCAAUAUUUUUCUCUAUUUCUUCUCUCUACUAGUUACAUAGUAAAUCACACUCAUAUUACAAUGCUUGCUUAGAGUAGAACAAAGAGCACGAAGUUGGUACGAUCAAAGUAGAUCUCUCCUCUUGGCCGUUUUGCAAUAUAUACACCUUGAGAAAUCUGCUUUGAAUUGAUUGUGGCAAAUUUGAGAGAUUGCAGUCUCAGGGAAAUUGAUCCUUGGAAUGAAUUAAGAAUUGAUUCUUUCCAAGAAUAAGUGUGGAGCCUCCUUGAUUUGAGUCUUGAUCAGCGAGCUUGAUAGAAUCUUCCAUCUGUGAGCGAGUCCUAUUUCAACGAACAACCUUUUAUUUGUCCUUUGAUUUUGGAGUUCAACAAUUUUUUUUUAAUGACCAAAUCCUCAGUUCUUUAAUAGCUAUGACAGGCAGAUUCUUAGCAGUCUUGAACUCCUCUGAUUUUGGACCUUCCUUUCUUAUCUUCCUUCGCAUGGGCUAUCAGAUCAUUGGAGAUCUUUUUCUUCUUUCCCUUUAUUCCUUCCUUUCUCGUCUUUCUUCGUAUAUCUUUGGCUAUCUUACUUGUCCUUUCCUUUGUUCCUAGAAUAUACCUGCAAAUAGAAAUAUAUUAUUUUUCAUCAUUGAAACUUAGAUCUAACAUAAACUACCUUAGAAACCCGAAAAAUAAAAGAAACAUGCCGUCAAUAUUUUGAAAAAAUAGUAGAAACUAUUUCCAAAAUUGUAAAAAAAUAUCGUAUUCAUAUUAGAAUUUUGCUAAAAAAUAUUGAAAACCUUUCAUGGAUUAUAGAUGCCUUCAAUAAUAGCAAAUAAUAUCCAAAUCACACAUAAUGAUCUACCAAGAUCGUUUUCUGAUAUCAAUUGUAGAAAAAAAUAAUUUCAUCCACACAAUAUCACAAGCAAAUCAUUAACAAAGAUAUAAAUCUAGAAUAAUGGUUAAGAACACUAAGCUUGAUCCAUUGCAGAAUAUUUGAUUGAAGGAGGCAAAUCUUUUAAGUCGUGCACAUUAUUUAAUACGUUGUACUUUUCAGAGAUGAGAAAGAAAAUAGAAAGUGUGUGACUUUAGAGACCACACACCUUUUAUAGAAAUUAGUGUCUUUU